rnacentral:rRNA from 1 species
UACGUAGGGAGCAAGCGUUGUUCGGAUUUACUGGGCGUAAAGGGCGCGUAGGCGGCAUAUUAAGUCAUCUGUGAAAUCUCCGAGCUUAACUCGGAACUGUCAGCUGAUACUGAUGUGCUAGAGUGCGGAAGGGGCAAUCGGAAUUCUUGGUGUAGCGGUGAAAUGCGCAGAUAUCAGGAGGAACACCGGUGGCGAAGGCGGGUCUCUGGACAGUUCCUGACAGCUGAGGCACGAAGGCCAGGGGAGCAAACGGG